rnacentral:rRNA from 1 species
UACGUAGGGCGCAAGCGUUGUCCGGAAUUAUUGGGCGUAAAGAGCUCGUAGGCGGUUUGUCGCGUCUGCUGUGAAAACCUAAGGCUCAACCUUGGGCUUGCAGUGGGUACGGGCAGACUAGAGUGCGGUAGGGGGUGACUGGAAUUCCUGGUGUAGCGGUGGAAUGCGCAGAUAUCAGGAGGAACACCGAUGGCGAGGGCAGGUCACUGGGCCGCAACUGACGCUGAGGAGCGGAAAGCAUGGGGAGCGAACAGG